UGGCCCUCUAGAGUAUACUAUCAUUCCCUGGAAUGUAACCCACAACAGUCAACUAACACCUAGGUGUUAGGUAAAGGCGUGUGCAACUAGUGUGAUAUUUUGUGUCUAUGUUUCACUCUCCAGGAGCUUUAUCAAGCUUUUACAAACAAUACAAGUACACAGAGGAUCCUUGUAUUGUUUGUAAUGGCUUGAUGAAGCUCUUGGAAAGCAAAACAUUGCCACAACAAAAGUCACAUUAGUUGCAUGUUUCCUUUUACCUAACAAAUUGUUGGUAAUUCUAAUAUUAUUACUAACACCCAGAUACCAACACUGCUAGGUGAACAGGGGCAGCAGGUGUAAAGGAAAUGUAUGCAACGUUUCCACUCGUGUCAUAAAUCGAACUACGGACACUCAGUACACGAGCCGAGUGCAUUGCCAAUCAAGCCACAGGACACCUUAUUUCACUGGAGCUUGACGUGCCCAAGUUUUAGUAUGUAAUGUAAUGCAGAUGAUGUAAUAUUCCACAUCAGAAUGAAUCACAUAAAGAUACCACAGAAAGAUGCCAGCACACUUCUGCAAAGACUGAAAGUGGAACCCCGACUUACGACUAACACCCAAGUGAACAGGAAAAAAUGCCUGGAACUAGUGCUCAAAGGUUGGUUUGAGAGAUUUAAGAAUUCCAGUGGCAUACAGUGUGAUAAGGCCUGUUCUGGAAGAAAAUGCCAAACAGGACCUACUUUACUCAGGAGGAAAAGGCACUCCCAGGACACAGUGUCUCAUCACUCAUCACUACAUCUUCAAUAAAGAAGAUUUUCAUGGUCAGCGAGUGAAAUAGCAACUAUGCUUACACCACCACCCACCUCGGGUAAACAGCCUUCACCUCACCGUACGUCCAGCUUUAAGUUGCUGCUCUUCCAGUGUGUUGCUGCCUGUCAGUGCUUCAGCUCCAAGGGGAUGCUUCCCCAGAUCAUCUUUAAAGGCAAUGAGGCCAAGGUGAGCAUGUGAGGCCUCAUUAAGGGCGCGUGAGGUG